UGGGGAAUUUUGGACAAUGGGCGAAAGCCUGAUCCAGCAAUGCCGCGUGUGUGAAGAAGGCCUUCGGGUUGUAAAGCACUUUUGUCCGGAAAGAAAUCCUUGGCUCUAAUACAGUCGGGGGAUGACGGUACCGGAAGAAUAAGCACCGGCUAACUACGUGCCAGCAGCCGCGGUAAUACGUAGGGUGCAAGCGUUAAUCGGAAUUACUGGGCGUAAAGCGUGCGCAGGCGGUUUGCUAAGACCGAUGUGAAAUCCCCGGGCUCAACCUGGGAACUGCAUUGGUGACUGGCAGGCUAGAGUAUGGCAGAGGGGGGUAGAAUUCCACGUNUGAGCAGUGAAAUGCGUAGAGAUGUGGAGGAAUACCGAUGGCGAAGGCAGCCCCCUGGGCAAUACUGACGCUCAUGCACGAAAGCGUGGGGAGCAAACAGGAUUAGAUACCCUGGUAGUCCACGCCCUAAACGAUGUCAACUAGUUGUUGGGGAUUCAUUUCCUUAGUAACGUAGCUAACGCGUGAAGUUGACCGCCUGGGGAGUACGGUCG
rnacentral:rRNA from 1 species